AUAUUGGACAAUGGGCGAAAGCCUGAUCCAGCCAUGCCGCGUGUGUGAAGAAGGUCUUCGGAUCGUAAAACUCUGUCCUUGGUGAAGAUAAUGACGGUAGCCAAGGAGGAAGCCCCGGCUAACUACGUGCCAGCAACCGCGGUAAUACGUAGGGGGCUAGCGUUGUCCGGAUUUAUUGGGCGUAAAGGGUGCGUAGGCGGCCUUUUAAGUCAGAUGUGAAAGGCUACGGCUUAACCGUAGUUAGCAUUUGAAACUAAAAGGCUUGAGUGCAGGAGAGGAGAGUGGAAUUCCUAGUGUAGCGGUGAAAUGCGUAGAUAUUAGGAGGAACACCAGUGGCGAAGGCGACUCUCUGGACUGCAACUGACGCUGAGGCACGAAAGCGUGGGGAGCGAACAGG
rnacentral:rRNA from 1 species